GCCGCGGCCGCCCGAGGGACUGUGAACAUGUCCGGGAUCGCCCUCAGCAGACUCGCCCAGGAGAGGAAAGCGUGGAGGAAAGACCACCCGUUUGGUUUCGUGGCUGUCCCAACAAAAAAUCCCGAUGGCACGAUGAACCUCAUGAACUGGGAGUGCGCCAUUCCAGGAAAGAAAGGGGUAAGGGGCGCUGCCGGCCUCCUGCCUGUUGGGGCUCAGCAGAUGCGUGCGGCAGUGCCACGGGGAUACUCCACUCAGAUCCCUGCCGUCCGUGACGGCCACCCUUGUCACAGGCUGCGGUCAACAGGUCAGAUCCCCAGCUGAGGCCUGGCCCCCGCCCCGUGAGGACUUGAGCUCAGAAGGUGGUGCUGGCAAGGUUGGGAUGACAGCUGUGUCCCUACCGAGGUCAUUUCUGGUUGAGAAGGAAGCAGGCUGGGCCUGGCCGGGCACAGGGCUGAGCUGUGGCAGAGGGGAAGGGGCUCUGGUGUGUGUUGGGAGCAGGCCUGAGGGGCGGGCAGCCUUUGCGUGCUGGAACCCGGGAUUCUGCUGUAUCCUUCCAGGUGUGGCUCAGGUCGCGGGAGCUGGGUUUGCAGGAGAGCCACCCCGGCCUAAAAUCGCCUACUGGAGAACCUCUUGGGGCACAGGGACUGGCGGCAGCCACCUAGGAUGCCUGCUUGGGGCCCCGUGUGUGUCUGGCAAGCAGGGCGGCGCACGUGCCUGUCCUCUUUGCCCAGCUCA
rnacentral:sRNA from 1 species